GAGCAUGGCGCAGCUUGGUAGCGUGCCAUCUUGGGGUGAUGGAGGUCGUGGGUUCAGAUCCCGCUUAAGUUCA
rnacentral:tRNA from 1 species